GAUGAACGCUGGCGGCGUGCUUAACACAUGCAAGUCGAGCGAGAAGUUUUGAAAAGAUUCUUCGGAUGAAAUUUAAAAUGGAAAGCGGCGGACGGGUGAGUAACGCGUAGGCAACCUGCCCCAUACAAAGGGAUAGCAUUUGGAAACGAAUAUUAAUACCUUAUGAAACUUAACUAGUGCAUGCUAGGUAGGUCAAAGAUUUAUCGGUAUGGGAUGGGCCUGCGUCUGAUUAGCUAGUUGGUGAGGUAACGGCUCACCAAGGCGACGAUCAGUAGCCGACCUGAGAGGGUGAACGGCCACAUUGGAACUGAGACACGGUCCAAACUCCUACGGGAGGCAGCAGUGGGGAAUAUUGCACAAUGGGGGAAACCCUGAUGCAGCAACGCCGCGUGAACGAUGAAGGCCUUUGGGGCGUAAAGUUCUGUUCUAGGUGAUGAAAACUGACAGUAACCUAGGAGAAACCCCCGGCUAACUCCGUG
rnacentral:rRNA from 1 species